CCUACGGGAGGCAGCAGUGAGGAAUAUUGGGCAAUGGAGGCAACUCUGACCCAGCCAUGCCGCGUGCAGGAAGACUGCCCUAUGGGUUGUAAACUUCUUUUAUAUAGGAAGAAACAGUGGUAUGUAUACCACCUUGACGGUACUAUAUGAAUAAGCACCGGCUAACUCCGUGCCAGCAGCCGCGGUAAU
rnacentral:rRNA from 1 species